GACGAACGCUGGCGGCGUGCCUAAUACAUGCAAGUAGAACGCUGAAGGAGGAGCUUGCUUCUCUGGAUGAGUUGCGAACGGGUGAGUAACGCGUAGGUAACCUGCCUGGUAGCGGGGGAUAACUAUUGGAAACGAUAGCUAAUACCGCAUAAUAGCAGUUGUUGCAUGACAACUGUUUGAAAGGUGCAAUUGCACCACUACCAGAUGGACCUGCGUUGUAUUAGCUAGUUGGUGGGGUAACGGCUCACCAAGGCGACGAUACAUAGCCGACCUGAGAGGGUGAUCGGCCACACUGGGACUGAGACACGGCCCAGACUCCUACGGGAGGCAGCAGUAGGGAAUCUUCGGCAAUGGACGGAAGUCUGACCGAGCAACGCCGCGGGAGUGAAGAAGGUUUUCGGAUCGUAAAGCUCGGUUGUAAGAGAAGAACGAGUGUGAGAGUGGAAAGUUCACACUGUGACGGUAUCUUACCAGAAAGGGACGGCUAACUACGUG
rnacentral:rRNA from 1 species